AAGUCGUAACAAGGUUUCCACCUGCGGAAGGAUCAUUAACACGUAUCCAACGUUAAACCCCCCCGUGAACGUACAAUCUGUUGCUUCUCCGGUAACGCGAAACAAUGGUUGCAAUCCCUGGUAAAUCAUCGCCGAACAGUUUUGAUUCAGGGACUUCAAGCACGUUACUGUCCUGAUAAAAGAGGAGUCCCCAGCCCUGGUGGGUGGGUUCGACUAUCCGGUAUGGCGUGCUUUCGAUGUUGCAAAAAUAAACAUAAUCAGGGGGUUGUGAAAGUGUUCAACCUGCUUAUGUUUAUCUUUGUAAAGUAGAAAGGUCACAAGAUGCUGUAAGAUAGACAGCCAUUGUUAACAGUUGUUCGUUAUCUCCACGACCCUUUCAAGUGUGGAGUGAUUGAGCCUUCCGUUUUGCAGGACACCAGGGACGUGUACUCGUUCCA
rnacentral:misc_RNA from 1 species